AUUUAAACGGUAGCUUUCGAUAAUAGUAUAUUUUCUAUAAAUAAACCUCUUCUACGUAACAGGUAUGAGGAAGUAAAUAAGAUCCUACCAUCAUGACAGAUAAUGAGGAUUGCUGUUGUAUGUGUACAUUGAUCAAGACUAUCUUUUGCUGUUUCUGUUGUCGACCGUUCUGCUGGUUGACUAGACAAACCAG